AUUGAACGCUGGCGGCAGGCCUAACACAUGCAAGUCGAACGAGUGGCGGACGGGUGAGUAAUGUCUGGGCAACUGCCCGAUGGUGAGGGAUAACUACUGGAAACGGUAGCUAAUACCGCAUCCCAUCGGAUGUGCCCAGAUGGGCUUAGCUAGUAGGUGGGGUAACGUCUCACCUAGGCGACGAUCCCUAGCUGGUCUGAGAGGAUGACCAGCCACACUGGAACGGAGACACGGUCCAGACUCCUACGGGAGGCAGCAGUGGGGAAUAUUGCACAAGGGGCGCAAGCCGGAUGCAGCCAUGCCGAGUGUAUGAAGAAGGCCUUCGGGUUGUAAAGUACGUUCAGCGAGGAGGCGUUACUCGCAGAAGAAGCACCGGCUAACUCCGUGCCAGCAGCCGCGGUAAUUC
rnacentral:rRNA from 1 species